rnacentral:tRNA from 1 species
GGGCCUGUAGCUCAGUUGGUUAGAGCAUACCGCUCAUAACGGUAGGGUCGCUGGUUCAAGUCCAGCCGGGCCCA